rnacentral:rRNA from 1 species
UACGGGGGGGGCAAGCGUUGUUCGGAAUUACUGGGCGUAAAGGGCUCGUAGGCGGCCAACUAAGUCAGACGUGAAAUCCCUCGGCUUAACCGGGGAACUGCAUCUGAUACUGGAUGGCUUGAGUUCGGGAGAGGGAUGCGGAAUUCCAGGUGUAGCGGUGAAAUGCGCAGAUAUAUGGAAGAACAUCAAUAACGGCGAAGGCAGUUAACUAUUCUGUUACUGACGUUGAGGCACGAAAGCGUGGGGAGCAAAACGG